GAUGAACGCUGGCGGCGUGCUUAACACAUGCAAGUCGAACGAUGAAGCCCAGCUUGCUUGGUGGUUUAGUGGCGAACGGGUGAGUAACACGUGAGUAACCUGCCCUUGACUCUGGGAUAAGCCUGGGAAACUGGGUCUAAUACUUGAUAUGACUUCUCAUCGCAGGGUGGGGGGUGGAAAGAUUUAUUGGUCUUGGAUGGACUCGCGGCCUAUCAGCUUGUUGGUGAGGUAAUGGCUCACCAAGGCGACGACGGGUAGCCGGCCUGAGAGGGUGACCGGCGACACUGGGACUGAGACACGGACCAGAGUCCUACGGGAGGCAGCAGUGGGGAAUAUUGCACAAUGGGCGCAAGCCUGAUGCAGCGACGCCGCGUGAGGGAUGAUGGCCUUCGGGUUGUAAACCGCUUUCAGUAGGGAAGAAGCGAGAGUGACGGUACCUGCAGAAGAAGCGCCGGCUAACUACGUG
rnacentral:rRNA from 1 species